rnacentral:rRNA from 1 species
UGGCGAACGGGUGAGUAACACGUGGGUGAUCUGCCUGCACUCUGGGAUAAGCCUGGGAAACUGGGUCUAAUACCGGAUAGGACCAUGCUUUAGUGUGUGUGGUGGAAAGUUUUUUCGGUGUAGGAUGAGCCCGCGGCCUAUCAGCUUGUUGGUGGGGUAAUGGCCUACCAAGGCGGCGACGGGUAGCCGGACUGAGAGGGUGUACGGCCACAUUGGGACUGAGAUACGGCCCAG